rnacentral:tRNA from 1 species
AAAAGUUUAAGUUAAGGAAACUAAUAGCCUUCAAAGCUUUUAAUGUAGAUUAAAAUUCUAUAACUUUUG